rnacentral:snRNA from 1 species
AUCGCUUCUCGGCCUUUUGGCUAAAAUCAAGUGUAGUAUCUGUUCUUGUCAGUCUAACAUCUGACAUUAAAUCUGUGUCAAGUUAAUAUCUAUCCGAGGACAAUAUGUUAAGUAGACUCUUGGAGCUGGGACUUUGAAUAGGAGCUUGCUCCGUCCAUUUCACGCAUCGGCCUAAUAUUGCAGUAUUUCCAGGAACGGUGCGUCUCCU